rnacentral:rRNA from 1 species
UAGGGAAUCUUCCACAAUGGGCGCAAGCCUGAUGGGGCAACGCCGCGUGUGUGAUGAAGGCUUUCGGUCGUAAAGCACUGUUGUAUGGGAAGAACAGCUAGAAUAGGAAAUGAUUUUAGUUUGACGGUACCAUACCAGAAAGGGACGGCUAAAUACGUGCCAG